rnacentral:rRNA from 1 species
GUAGUCAUAUGCUUGUCUCAAAGAUUAAGCCAUGCAUGUCUAAGUAUAAACUGCUUUAUACUGUGAAACUGCGAAUGGCUCAUUAAAUCAGUUAUAGUUUAUUUGAUGGUACCUUACUACUCGGAUAACCGUGGUAAUUCUAGAGCUAAUACGUGCGGAAAUCCCGACUUCUGGAAGGGACGUAUUUAUUAGAUAAAAGGCCGACCGGGCUUGCCCGAAACGCGGUGAAUCAUGAUAACUCCACGAAUCGCAUGGCCUCAGCGCCGGCGAUGUUUCAUUCAAAUUUCUGCCCUAUCAACUUUCGACGGUAAGGUAUUGGCUUACCGUGGUGGUAACGGGUGACGGAGGAUUAGGGUUCGAUUCCGGAGAGGGAGCCUGAGAAACGGCUACCACAUCCAAGGAAGGCAGCAGGCGCGCAAAUUACCCAAUCUUGACACAAGGAGGUAGUGACAAUAAAUAACAAUACCGGGGUUUUUCAACUCUGGUAAUUGGAAUGAGUACAAUCUAAACCCCUUAACGAGGAUCAAUUGGGGGGCAAGUCUGGUGCCAGCAGCCGCGGUAAUUCCAGCUCCAAUAGCGUAUAUUUAAGUUGUUGCAGUUAAAAAGCUCGUAGUUGGAUUUCGGGCGGGCCCGGCCGGUCCGCCUUCGGGUGUGCACUGACCGGGCCCGUCUUGUUGCCGGGGACGGGCUCCUGGGCUUCACUGUCCGGGACUCGGAGUCGGCGAGGUUACUUUGAGUAAAUUAGAGUGUUCAAAGCAGGCCUACGCUCUGAAUACAUUAGCAUGGAAUAACACGAUAGGACUCUGGCCUAUCUUGUUGGUCUGUGGGACCGGAGUAAUGAUUAAGAGGACAGUCGG